rnacentral:rRNA from 1 species
GAUGAACGCUGGCGGCGUGCUUAACACAUGCAAGUCGAACGGAAAGGCCCUGCUUUUGUGGGGUUCUCGAGUGGCGAACGGGUGAGUAACACGUGAGUAUCCUGCCCUUGACUUUGGGAUAUCUUCAGGAAACUGGGGCUAAUACCGGAUAGGAGCUCCUGCUGCAUGGUGGUGGUUGGAAAGUUUCGGCGGUUGGGGAUCGACUCGCGGCUUAUCAGCUUGUUGGUGGGGUAGUGGCUUACCAAGGCUUUGACGGGUAGCCGGCCUGAGAGGGUGACCGGCCACAUUGGGACUGAGAUACGGCCCAGACGCCUACGGGAGGCAGCAGUGGAGAGUAUUGCACAGUGAGCGGAAGCCUGAUGCAGCGACGCCGCGUGCGGGAUGACGGCCUUCGGGUUGUGAACCGCUUUCGCCUGUGACGAAGCGGGAGUGACGGUAAUGGGUAAAGAAGCACCGGCUAACUACGUG